GAUGAACGCUAGCUACAGGCUUAACACAUGCAAGUCGAGGGGAAACGACAUCGAAAGCUUGCUUUUGAUGGGCGUCGACCGGCGCACGGGUGAGUAACGCGUAUCCAACCUGCCCACCACUUGGGGAUAACCUUGCGAAAGUAAGACUAAUACCCAAUGAUAUCCCACGAAGACAUCUGAAUGGGAUUAAAGAUUUAUCGGUGAUGGAUGGGGAUGCGUCUGAUUAGCUUGUUGGCGGGGUAACGGCCCACCAAGGCAACGAUCAGUAGGGGUUCUGAGAGGAAGGUCCCCCACAUUGGAACUGAGACACAGUCCAAACUCCUACGGGAGGCAGCAGUGAGGAAUAUAGGUCAAUGGGCGAGAGCCUGAACCAGCCAAGUAGCGUGCAGGAAGACGGCCCUAUGGGUUGUAAACUGCUUUUAUAAGGGAAUAAAGUGGGUCACGUGUGACUUUUUGCAUGUACCUUAUGAAUAAGGACCGGCUAAUUCCGUG
rnacentral:rRNA from 1 species